ensembl:rRNA 5S_rRNA 5S ribosomal RNA
GUCUACGGCCAUACUACCCUGGAUGUGCCCAAUCUCAUCUGAUCUGGGAAGCAAAGCAGGGUCGGGCCUGGUUAGUACUUGGAUAGGAGACCACAGGGGGUUAAGGAAACAAAGGAGA